GUGGGGAUUGGCUUUAUAUUCGAGGACGCAAGUUAAUUCUGAAGUUGUGCUGGAAAUUCGAGAAUGUCUGCGAAGACAGUGAAGAAGUGAAUUUGUAACUGAGCCUGCAACGCGUCUAACAAUUCCAAGAAUUCAUGAUAAAUACACUGACCGCCCGGUACCAAUAGCAGAAAGAUGAAUACAGUGGCUUAGAGUAAGGAAAACUUGAGGAGACCCAAGAAAAGCAAGAAAAUUCACAACAAAUUCAAGAGGACAAGCAGACCUGUACUCCUUGGUCUGAUAUCUGCAACAUUUAAGCGCAUCCUGUGAUUCGACAUA